GAUAGGACUUUUAUGUCCAUUGAUGUGGUACUAUGCUACAUUUCUCUACUUCGGUAAUAACUAUCGUAAAGAUCCAAGAGAGAGAGCCGGUCUUGCUGCUUCCGCAAUUGCGGCAAUGGCAUGCUCUGUGGUACUGCUGAUCAUAAUAAUAGUUUUUCUUCUAUUUUAAAC